rnacentral:misc_RNA from 1 species
UAAAUAAACUUGAAAAAGAAGAAGAGAACUGAUUAAUUCAGAUAAAAAGUCUCCAAUUCUUUAAGUCUCUUUUUCUCCCUUUUUACCAACACAAUUUCAGAUAAAAAGUCAAUUAGCCAAAAGAGCUUUUGGUAGCAAUCUAAAUAUAAAACGAAUGUGCACGAAACUUAUAAACUGAAACCAAAUUUGAAAAACAGUGAAAAAGGAAGCCUUACAUAGCACUUAAAAUCAGAAAUAACAACAAAGGAAACAAUUAAUGAGGAAACAAAAAGAGACAUUUUCGUGAAAGA